AGUAGAAACAUAGAAAGAGGAGUGUUGAGACACUCCUACUCCUCUAAGCCAAGGAGGUCUAGUGUGAAGCCAGAACACAUAGCCUUUCCCAGAAAGAACAAGGAGUCCCUGACCUGAGCUGUCAAUGAAGGCUGACUACUGAACUCCUACCCCUACCUGGUAAUAAUGAGGUAACGUUCUACCACCCCACUUUCCCUGCUAGAGUGGUAUCAGAGAAAUCCAGCUAAAACAAAGUUUAAAUAAGAUUCAGUCUCGUAACAUAAUGCUUCAAAAAUCCCCAUUUCAAUAGUAAAUCACUUGUCAUGCCAAGAACGAGGAAGAUCUCAAACUGAAUGAAAAAAGAUGAUGUCAACUCCUAGAUGACAUGAGAGUUUAGAAUUAUCUGGAAAAUAUUGUAAAUGAGCCACCAUAAAGAUGUUUAGAUGAGCAAUUACAAACAUGCCUGAAAUAAAUUUUAAAAAAUAGAAAGUUUCAGCAAAUAGAAAAUCUCAGUAAAGAAAUAGAAGACAUGAAGAAGAAUCAAAGGGAAAUUUUAGAACAAAAAAUAUAUCUGGUAUAAAAAUGAAAAAGCAGAAUAGAGAAGACAAAGCAAAGAAUCAGUAAACUAGAAGACAGAGCAAUAGAAAUUACCCAAUCUGAACAACAGAGUUAGAAACAGACUGGGAAAAAGAAAAAUGAACAUAGCCUUAGAAAUCUAAGGAACUAUAACAAAAGAUGUAACUUUUAUGUUAUUAGAGUGCCAGAAGGAGAGGAUAAAGAGGUACUUAAAGAAAUAAGACUGAAACUUACCAAGUUUUACAAAAGACAUAAACCUACAGAUUCUAGAAACUGAGUGAAUGUGAUAAACCUAAAGAAAUCUAUAACAAGACAUAUCAUAAUCAAACUUCUAAAAAUUGAAGACAAACAAUCUUGAAAGCAAUGAGAAAAAAAAUGACACUUUACCCAGCAUUACCAGGGGAUAAACAAUUCAAAUAACAGUGGAUUUCUCACUAUAAAUCAUGGAAGCAGAAGGAAGUGGCACAACAUUUUUCAAGUGAUGAAAGCAAAGAAUCAUCAACUCAGAAUUCAGCAAAAAUAUCCUUCAAGAAUGAAAGAACAAUAAAGGCUUUCUCAGAUGAAGGAAUAUCAAGAGAACUUGUUGCCAGCUGACUUACCCUUAAAAAAUGGCUAAUGAAAAUGUUCUAAACAAGAAGAAAAUGAUAAAAGAAGGAAUCUUGGAACAUCAGAAAAGAAGAAAGAACAAUACAAGAAAGAUAAGCAAAAAUAUGGGUGUUAAGAUUUGGGUUUUAGACCCUCUUCUGGCUCACUAAAACCUGGAUUCAGGAAGAAAGAGAAGCACCAGAUAUAGACAGUUCACAAAUUGGAUAUUCUUCUUUCUAGAGCUCUUCGUUCCUAGAUCGAUUUAAGUAAGCAGAAGUUAUGCCUACAAGACUAUUUGGCCUGUUUAGUUGACUUGAAGCAUAGAGUGAACUGCUCAUAGUAGAAAGUGAAGAGGAUGGAGUAGUUGAACUUGAAGUUGAUACUGGCCUAUAACGCUGAUUGUCUUGCUUGUCUAGAUCUUGCUUUUCUUUGGGAUUCAGACUCUUCAUCCCUAACAGGAGUGAGGGAAAAUUUGGGAUGCUGUUGGGACCGGCAUCCUGGACGUUUGGACCUCAGAAGGAACAGGAGCAUUUCUCAAUUGCUGAGAACCCACUCACAACCUAUCUGUACCUAAGGAGUCUUAGAAGCCUCUGCAACUUCUUUAAAUAUAGGUCGGCAAAAUGCAGAGGUGAACAACAGCCUCCAGAUAAUUAAAUAAUAAUAAAUUCACAACUAUAUGUACAACCUCUUCAUCUUCACAACAACGAAUAAUGUAGCUGGGACAAGUAUCAGAAUGAUUCUCACUGUACAGAUGAAGAAACUCAGUCUGCGUGCAUGGUAUUUGCCCAAGGUCAUACAGGUCAUUAAGAGAAAGUGGGAAUACAAUCUAGGUCUCUACUAGUGUGUCAUUUUGUCUUUAUCAAAAAUAAAAAUAAAUUCAGAUGGAA